ACACGACUACAUUAGAUACCCCUGUAGUCCCAGCCCUAAACGAUGCGCGUUAGGUGUAUCGGUGACCACGAGUCACCGAGGUGCCGAAGGGAAACCGUGAAACGUGCCGCCUGGGAAGUACGGUCGCAAGGCUGAAACGUUAAAGGAAUUGGCGGGGAGCACCACAACGGGUGGAGCCUGCGGUUUAAUUGGACUCAACGCCGGGAAGCUCACCGGAUAAGACAGCGGAAUGAUUGCCGGGCUGAAGACCCUGCAUGACCAGCUG
rnacentral:rRNA from 1 species